rnacentral:rRNA from 1 species
UACGUAGGGUGCAAGCGUUAAUCGGAAUUACUGGGCGUAAAGCGUGCGCAGGCGGUUUUGUAAGUCUGUCGUGAAAGCCCCGGGCUCAACCUGGGAAUUGCAUUCGAGACUGAAUAGCUAGGGUACGGUAGAGGGAAGCGGAAUUUCCGGUGUAGCGGUGAAAUGCGUAGAUAUCGGAAGGAACAUCAGUGGCGAAAGCGGCUUCCUGGACCAGUACCGACGUUCAGGCACGAAAGCGUGGGGAGCAAACAGG